rnacentral:rRNA from 1 species
GGAUGAAGAGUCUUAGUGGCGAACGGGUGCGUAACGCGUUGGUAACCUGCCCCAAAGAGGGGGAUAACAGUUCGAAAGGACUGCUAAUACCCCAUGUGAUCAUCAGGAUUAGAUGCUUGAUGAUGAAAGGAGUAAUCCGCUUUGGGAGGGGCCUGCGUCCCAUCAGCUUGUUGGUAGGGUAAUGGCCUACCAAGGCUCUGACGGGUAGGGGACCUGAGAGGGUGGCCCCCCACACUGGCACUGAAAUACGGGCCAGACACCUACGGGUGGCAGCAGUAGGGAAUAUUGGACAAUGGGCGAAAGCCUGAUCCAGCAACGCCGCGUGCACGAUGACGGCCUUCGGGUUGUAAAGUGCUUUUAGGAGAGAUGAGAAAGGACAGUAUCUCCUGAAUAAGCCUCGGCGAACUACGUGCCAGCAGCCGCGGUAAAACGUAGGAGGCGAGCGUUAUCCGGAUUUAUUGGGCGUAAAGCGCGUGCAGGCGGUUUGGAAAGUUGGAUGUGAAAGCUCCUGGCUUAACUGGGAGAGGUCGUUCAAAACUACCAGACUAGAGAAUGGGAGAGGGAAGUGGAAUUCCCGGGUGUAGUGGUGAAAUGCGUAGAUAUCCGGAGGAACACCAGUGGCGAAAGCGGCUUCCUGGACCAUUUCUGACGCUAAGACGCGAAAGCUAGGGGAGCGAACGGGAUUAGAGACCCCGGUAGUCCUAGCUGUAAACGAUGUAGACUUGGCGUUGGCGGAGUUAAAUCUGCCAGUGCCGGAGCUAACGCGUUAAGUCUACCGCCUGGGGACUACGACCGCAAGGUUAAAACUCAAAGGAAUUGACGGGGACCCGCACAAGCAGCGGAGCGUGUGGUUUAAUUCGAUGCUACACGAAGAACCUUACCAGGGUUUGACAUGCAAGUGGUAGGAAACUGAAAAGGGACCGACCCUUCGGGGAGCUUGCACAGGUGCUGCAUGGCUGUCGUCAGCUCGUGUCGUGAGA